rnacentral:lncRNA from 1 species
UCUUAUUGCGAUCAUCGAUUUUUCUCUAUCUGUGUUUCUUUCAUGUUCUCCUUUUCUGAUUAGCCGCGUGCUUUAUUUGGACACUUUAUAUAGCAAAGGCGGGAACAUAUAGGCAUAGAAAAUGUAAAAUUAGGUGUCAAGCAAGCAAAAUUGUAUUCAUACAUAGUAGGUGGUAUUAACGAUUAGAGGUGGCAUAUGAGUUACUGCAAAUAAAAAGAAAAGGAAUAAAAAAUAAGACAAUACGUGACUUGAAAAAUAUUUAUUGACUUAUCCAUUUAUAGUGUUAGGACCUCUUUGGGAUCACAUGUUUGAGAAACAUGGGAUUAUAAAAAUCACAUGAAUCCCACAAAGUUUUCAAGUGCAAAACAAAGAAUUGUGAAAGAGCAAAAUUUUGCAAUAUUUGUCGUUUGGAUGGAUCGCCAAGAAAAAGAAACACAUAAAAAAUGUGUUCAUCCUACGUUAACAAGUUAAAAAGUUUUGAGUGGAUGUUUAAAUUCCUAUGCAAGUGAGGCAUACAAAACCAGUCCAUGGGAGAAAACAUAUGCAUGGGAGGAGGAAGAAGGCUAAGCUGGUCGGAAGGAGUUGGUGAGUCCACAAUGACGACGAGAGCUAGCACAAUCGAUAAAUUUUAUUAGAGGCAACUCUUAUUUGUGAAUGGCAUGACAAAACAUUGUUGGUUUUGAGAGCAUUCACAAUGCUUAGAGGCUUGCGCUAAGCCCCACGACCAGCCUCUAAGUUUAUCCCAAAACUCUAUAGUGUGUCAUUCCUCUAUCGUGGACCUUAUAUGAACCUAAAAAAAAUGUGUCAUGCUUCUCUUUCAUCACUUUUCUCUGCUACACUUGAUAUUACAUCAAUGAAAUGUAAUAUCUGUAGCAUACAUCAUGCUUCGGUAAAAAUAAUUCAGUGACUAGGAGGCUUAUAGUGUCAGUGAGGAAAUCCGUUCCCGAUGCCUCUUAUCCUUAAGCUUUUUUUCAGCAAAAGAGGGAUUUCCCCCUUCGAUUUCAUAUAAAGAAAUCAAGAUCCAGUUCAGACAGAUUCGUCUCACUUCCGAACAUAGCUAGACUAAUCAACACAGCACUUACUACCAAGUCUCUUGCAGGGAAGCGAGAAAGGCAACAGCAAAGCCCACCAAACUAAGAUAAAAGCUACGUAGAAUACGCAAAACGCCUGCCAGAGGACGAAGACCAGUACUGCUAUGGCCCUUCCAGUCUAGGGACGCGCAGCCUCCACCCCUGCGCGGCACGGUACACUUCCUUUGCGACUUGUUCUACCAUCCUUGCUUCCAACACCUCCCAUCCUUAAGCUAACAUGAACAAAUGAAGACAAUGGAAACAUUAGGUGAUGUGGCUCUCGUUUCUCUUAUUGCGAUCAUAGACUUUUUUUUUCUCUAAUUGUGUUCUCUUCUGUUCUCCUUUUCUUUGUGUUUCUCUCAUGUUCUCCUUUUCUUAUUGUUUCGUUGUUGCAUGUUUGGACGCUUAUACAGCGAAGAUGGGGAUAUAUAGACAUAGGAAAUGUGAAGAAUUAGGUGCCAAGCAAUCAAUAAUGUAUUGGCAUAGCCGUACAUAGUAGGUGGUAUUAUUUCUUAGAGAUGGCACUAGUUGGAAGAAUUAAGAACCUAGCAGCAUGUGUCCAUGACAACGAGGCGGCCGGUGAGCCGUGAGGGCGAGACCUCUUCGAUCUCAAAGUCAAGGGUGUGGAGCAGCGCGUCCAGCCCCGCCGUCUUGGUGCUCGGCGGGGCCGGGGUUGUGGCGUCCCCCAUGGCUAACUAGCCGAGACGUGGUAGGGGAAAGGUCUAUGUGCGGGUUCUAUGCACGGGUGCGUGUGUGUGUGGUUGCGGGUGAGGAACUCGGAAUGGGUCAGGGUCGUGUAUGUAUGGACUUUUUGGAAGUUAUUAGUAUAGCUGAGCGUCACUGGCACGAUUGAGGCCGGGAGAAUUUGGUGAGAGACGUGGAGCAAUAAGGAGUUGUUUGGUUCCUAGUCACAUCUUUCACGCUACGUCAAGGAAAAGUGUGGUUAAGAUUUUGAACAACCAAGAUAAGACAAGUAAACCAAAAACAGUAUGGUAAACAGUAACAAAAUUAGUCACCAACCAAUUAAGUCAUUAGUACUUUUUUGUAUUUUGGAGCCACCACCACCAGAUAGUGAGAGUACACCAGUAUGUACCUACAAUUAAGUGAUUCUUUGUUGCAAACACGAAUCCAAUAAACGAAAGAACUAUAUCGACUAUGCUGCAUUGCUACCCGCAAAAAAGGAAAGGACAAUGCAUUGCUAGGGUGUAUGUUUUCUCUUAGAGAACACCACAAGUUAGUCUAAUUUUGGAUAACUGUGCAAAAAUCCUUUCCUUGAUGCCUCCCAUCCUUAAGCCAACAUGGAUAAAUGAAUACAACAUAAACAUUAGGUGAUGCUACUCAGAUCUCUCUUAUUGCGACCGUCGAUUUUUCUCUAUAUGCGUUUCUCUCUUGCUCUCCUUUUCUUAUUGGUCCGGUGCUUCAUCUUUGGAUACUUUAUAUAGCAAAGGUGGGAAUAUAUAGGCAUAAAAAAGUGCAAAAUUAGGUGUCAAGCAAGCAAUAUUGUAUUCAUACAUAGUAGGUGGUAUUAUCGCUUAGAGAUGGCAUAUGAGUUACUGCAAAUAAAAAGGAAAGAAAUAAAAAAACAAGAUAAUACAUGACUUGAAAAAUAUUUAUUGACUUCUGGAUUUAUAGUGUUAGGACCUCUUUGGAUCACAUGUUUGAGAAACAUAGGACUAUUAAAUCACAAGAAUCUGACAAAGCUUGCAAGUGCAAAACAAAGAAUUGUGAAAGGGCACAAUUUUGCAAUAUUUGUCGUUUGGA